rnacentral:lncRNA from 1 species
GGCUUGAAAGGGAUGGGGUUGAGAUUCUCGUUGAGACUCUCGAGCUUCUUCUGAAGCUUCUUGACCUUAGCGGCUGCAAAUCGCUUGCUCUUGUUCCUCUUCAAACUUCCACCGCCGCGGAGGGUAAAGGCGGAGGUGGCGGAGAAGGCUGUUGGGGGGGAGGCUUCCAUAUCGCUCUGAUUAGGAUCGUGGAGAAGGCUGUUGGGUGGGAGGCUUCCAUAUCGCUCUGAUUAGGAUCGUUGUCUAGUGAUGCGGAGACACUUAAGGUUAGGGUUUGAGAGGGCUCGGAUAGAGGUGGUGGGUUCUCUUGAAAUUCCUUCUCCGGCGGUUUCUCUUCAGAUUGCUCCGCCGUAGUCGGUGCUUGGUGUUCGUCGUGGGUGGGAGAGUUGUUGGUCGGCUGCUGAUCUUGCGGGUGAGAAGGUAGUGGAGAAGCCAUCGUGCUCUGCUACUCGAAAUAAGAAACUGAUUUUCCUAAACGGGACUUCUUCGGAAUAUAACGGGGCCAGUGGUUGACCCUCGUUAGUUUGACGUUGAAACUAACGUCGUAAGUUCUAUAUUGUAUAAAGGAAUUUUACAGUUGCAUCAAGAAGAUGGAAUCUCUUUC